ACUCCUACGGGAGGCAGCAGUGGGGAAUAUUGCACAAUGGGGGAAACCCUGAUGCAGCCAUGCCGCGUGUGUGAAGAAGGCCUUCGGGUUGUAAAGCACUUUCAGUAGGGAGGAAGGUAGUGUAGUUAACACCUGCACUAUUUGUACGUUACCUACAGAAGAAGCACCGGCUAACUCCGUGCCAGCAGCCGCGGUAAGUACGGAGGGUGCGAGCGUUAAUCGGAAUUACUGGGCGUAAAGCGCAUGCAGGCGGCCUGUUAAGUCAGAUGUGAAAGCCCGGGGCUUAACCUCGGAAUUGCAUUUGAAACUGGCAGGCUAGAGUCUUGUAGAGGGGUUAGAAUUUCAGGUGUAGCGGUGAAAUGCGUAGAGAUCUGAAGGAAUACCGGUGG
rnacentral:rRNA from 1 species